UACGGUACUAUCAAAGAUGACAAACACAUCAGCCAUCAGGUAAUAUGGUUUGACCCAAUAAUAAGCUAAUAGAAGGUGAGAAAGCACAAAUGGAGUGUUCGUAAGCAUAGAAAGCUAUGGUAUACUAGAGAACCCACCGUGAAUGAUCAAACUCCGUCUUGCUUCAAGAGAUGGUUUUCGACUCUCAGAAGGUCAGAAUGCUGAAGCUCUGAACAGUGCAACAUGAUGCCCUGGAGACACUCAGGACAACUCUUCGCGGGCCAUAGGUUCCAUCUUCGAAAUUCAAUCCUGUAGUGUAAGAAGUUCAAUGGCAAUAUAGUUUGCAGGAUAUUUCAGCAUAGGCAAAUCAGCUAACAGCAAACAUUUGUGGCAGAUACAUCAUCUGGGGUCCAUCACAGGUUAAACUGACACAGGUAACAGCCGUACUGGCAGCAUUAAGAGAAGUGAUGGGGCUCACAUGACCGGCAUCAUCAUGAGAACAAACUCCAAAAAAAGAAAGGCAUAAGUGUCUAAAGGAAUAGAUAAAUGAAAAUAAAAUCGGACUUCCCUUAGCAGACCCUGCCACUGAGACAAGGGACAUGUCAUGGAACUUAAGCAUAAACAAGUUACUUGUCUCAUAUCAAAUAGAUUGACUUACUAUCUGUUAUUCUAUAGUCCAUAGCUUCAAUCCAGAACUGUAUAAGCACAAUAUUCCCGC
rnacentral:lncRNA from 1 species